rnacentral:rRNA from 1 species
AUGGAUUCCAUCAUGGCUAACGGGACAUGGGAGAUCACUGAACGUCCCUAUGGUUGCAAACCAUUAGGAUGUAAGUGGGUGUUCAAGAAGAAGCUUAGGCCCGAUGGUACAAUUGAAAAGUACAAGGCUAGGCUUGUGGCCAAGGGCUAUGACCAGAAAGAAGAGGAAGAUUACUUCGACACUUAUUCACCUGUAGCUAGACUGACCACCAUUCGAGUAUUACUCUCGUUGGCAGCCUCGCAUGGUCUUCUCGUCCACCAGAUGGAUGUUAAGACGGCUUUUCUGAAUGGAGAGCUAAAAGAGGAAAUCUACAUGCAACAGCCAGAUGGCUUUGUGAUAGAUGGUCAGGAAAGAAAGGUGUGUAGGUUGUUGAAAUCUUUAUAUGGCCUGAAGCAAGCACCUAAGCAAUGGCAUGAUAAGUUUAAUACAACUCUGACAUCUGUUGGUUUCGUUGUUAAUGAGGCUGACAAAUGUGUAUACUAUCGCCAUGGUGGGGGCGAAGGAGUUAUACUGUGCUUGUAUGUUGAUGACAUACUGAUAUUCGGAACCAACCUCAAAGUCAUUGAGGAGGUCAAGUCGUUUUUGUCUCAGAACUUUGAGAUGAAAGACCUUGGUGUGGCUGAUGUUAUCUUGAACAUCAAGCUACUGAGAGAUAAUGAGGGUGGGAUUACACUUCUGCAAUCCCACUAUGUUGAGAAGGUGUUGAGUCGUUUUGGAUAUUCGGAUUGCACACCAUCUCAAACACCAUAUGAUCCUACGAGCGCAACGAGGCCCGACAUCGCGUUUGCUGUGAGCAAACUGAGCCAGUUUGUUUCCAAACCGGGUGAUGUACAUUGGCAUGCUGUUGAACGAGUCAUGCGCUAUCUGAAAGGUACUAUGAACUAUGGACUUCACUAUACCGGAGACCCGUCGGUACUUGAAGGGUAUAGUGAUGCAAAUUGGAUCUCUGAUGCUGAUGAGAUGAAGGCCACAACUGGGUAUAUGUUUACUCUUGGAGGUGACACAUCUGGUGUUGAAGCAAGAUGGCUUCGAGAUCUUUUGAUGGACUUACCAUUGGUUGAUAAACCGGUUCCGGCUAUCCUUAUGAACUGUGACAAUCAGACUGUCAUCACCAAGGUGAAGAGUUCAAAGGACAACAUGAAGUCCACCAAACACAUAAGAAUGAGAUUAAAAGCUGUCAGAAAAUUAAGAAACUCCGGAGUGAUAGCGUUGGACUAUGUCCAUACGGCUAAGAAUCUGGCAGAUCCCUUUACGAAAGGGCUAUCACGUGUUGUGAUAGAUAAUGCAUCGAGGGAGAUGGGUAUGAGACCCACAUGA